CGUAUCACCCAAGACAACUUUACGGAGUUGACGAUUGACGGAGCGAAGCGACGUCAAAGCGUUCAUUAAAGUCGAGUUGGCUUAGGGAUACGUUCGUUGGGUAGGGGAGCGUUCUGUAAGCCUGUGAAGGUGUGUCGUGAGGCAUGCUGGAGGUAUCAGAAGUGCGAAUGCUGACAUAAGUAACGAUAAAGCGGGUGAAAAGCCCGCUCGCCGGAAGACCAAGGGUUCCUGUCCAACGUUAAUCGGGGCAGGGUGAGUCGACCCCUAAGGCGAGGCCGAAAGGCGUAGUCGAUGGGAAACGGGUUAAUAUUCCCGUACUUGGUGUUACUGCGAAGGGGGGACGGAGAAGGCUAUGUUGGCCGGGCGACGGUUGUCCCGGUUUAAGCGUGUAGGUGUGUGUUCCAGGUAAAUCCGGUUCACUUUAACACUGAGGCGUGACGACGAGGCACUACGGUGCUGAAGCAACAAAUGCCCUGCUUCCAGGAAAAGCCUCUAAGCAUCAGGUAACACGAAAUCGUACCCCAAACCGACACAGGUGGUCAGGUAGAGAAUACCAAGGCGCUUGAGAGAACUCGGGUGAAGGAACUAGGCAAAAUGGUGCCGUAACUUCGGGAGAAGGCACGCUGACACGUAGGUGAAGUGAUUUACUCAUGGAGCUGAAGUCAGUCGAAGAUACCAGCUGGCUGCAACUGUUUAUUAAAAACACAGCACUGUGCAAACACGAGAGUGGACGUAUACGGUGUGACGCCUGCCCGGUGCCGGAAGGUUAAUUGAUGGGGUCAGCG
rnacentral:rRNA from 1 species